UCCCUCCCUAAAUAUUCCGUCACAAAUUUCCGUCACUAAUGUAGAUUUUAGAUUUUGAACUUGAUGAUUGUUAUUAUAACUUUAGUCACAAAAAAGAAAAUCGCACAGAAACCCUUCUCAGAUCAAAUUUUCACAAACACGUCCUUUGUUCGUCGAUUUCAUCUCUCCGAAACCCUUUCUUCAUCGAUAAAUUUUCAGAUGAAUUCUUCAUCGCGUUCUCACCGUUUCCAUCUCUCAGAUCAAAUUCUUCAUCGAUUUCAGUAAACAUUACCGAUUUUAGUAAGCUUCUUCAUCGAUUUCAGUAACCAUUACCGAUUUCACAAAGCUUCUUCGUCGAUUUCAUCUCUCAGAUCGCGGUGAAGAUCGAAAUUUCUCUCAAAUCGAAAUCACACAUAACUUUAGUAACCUUUCUCAGAUCAAAUUUUCACAAAGCUUCUUCGUCAAUUUCACAAAGCUUCUUCAUCGAUUUCACCUCUCAGAUCACAGUGAAGAUGGAAUUUGUUCUCAGAUCGCUCGCUUUCCAUUCCAAUUGAUCUCAAAUGAAAUUGAAUUGACUUUGCUGAAGGUUGGACUUCAGACAUGAUGAAAGAAAAAAAAGGGAAAAAAAGACAUAAGAAUUGGAGAACAAAAGAAAAAUAGGUUUAGUACUAGUGAUGGUGACCAUAGAUUUGGAUAAUUGGAAUAAGAAGAAAGAUGAGUACAAUGUUACUGAAAGAAGCAAGAAUGUUGAUAGAAUAAGGCCAAUGCUUGUUUUGCAACCACGUUCGGUGAAAAUCAAAAUGUUCCUACUGCUGCUGUUUUUUGAUUAGAAAGGUCUGAAUCAGAAGGUUUUACCAUCUGAUGAUGGACGUUCAGAAAGUACCAGAAACUACCAAUGUCAGAUUGAAAUUUUCAAGAGAUAUUUGGGAACCAGACUCUUCAACUCCUCCCCAUUGGACCUAAUCUCUGCACAUAUCAGCCAGCCGUUGUUAAUCGCCAAGGGGUAGAGUUAGAACUGUCCAAUUAUACUAAAACAAGAGAGCUUUAUUUGAGAUAAGUCAAGCCCAGGAUAGACUUACAGAGUUGCUCCAGAAUGUUUAUGCAAGUUAUUCACAGUACAUGGAAGUUGUGAGGAUGAUCCAUUCUACUGUUGAUGGAGGUGAAGGUGAUGUGGGACAGCGUAUCUGUCACCCUUUUUCUCAGGUUACACAAUUGAAGACGAAUGAGAAAUUGAUUUGUGCAUUAGAUGGAGAGUCGCUUUUAGCUAUGGAGGAGUUGCGCGUGUUCGGCUCGAGAGGACCACAUUUGCUUAGGGAGUUAUUAUUUGGCCUUUGAGGUUCCUGGGACUAGUAAAUUCUUCUUCUUCUUUUUUUGACAAAAAGAACUAGUAAAUUCUUAGUUAAGUAAAUAGUAUAUUUUUGUUUUGAGAAUUUGGUUGUAAACUAUAAUUUCAAGAACAAUGUUAAUACUAAUGAAGGCUGUUUUGUAUUUUUGUGAUGUAUAUGUUA